UUUCUUUUGAUUUUUCACAUUCAAGCUAAUUCUUUCUUUUCUUUUCCUUUCUCGUGUCAUUUCUCCCCCUUUUUGUCAUUAUUAAAAUGAGUAAAAGAUAAGUUUGUACGAAGAAGAAUAUAAGCAGAACAAACAAUAAGGCAAAUUGAGAAGACAACAUUCAUUGAUCAAAAGUUCAUACAAUAUAUUUUCAUUAGUAAUAUCAUUCAUUUACAAAAGAUAAGUAGAAACAUAACAUAGAUAUCUAUAGUCAAUUCAAGAUAACAAAAGAGGAUGGCUAGGAUAGGGAUCGCUGAGGCUCUAGAGAAAAAAUCCUAGCAUCUUAAAGAUGUAAGAGAAGAGGGGAUGGCUCCAAAGUGGAACGUCCAAGUUGGGCUGGUGAUGAGGUCUCUCUACUCUUCUCAGGCAAGUAGAUUGACUAAUCACGAGCACCACUAAAUAUGUGAAUUAAGGUAUCCUAUCGAUCUCUUAUGCUCUUAGUAGCAAAUCAUUGAAGCUCUACUAAUACAGAAGACAUCACACUAGUGGUUACAC
rnacentral:lncRNA from 1 species